CGCGUAGGCGGGAUGGCAAGUCGGUCGUGAAAUCCCUCGGCUCAACCGAGGAACGUCGAUCGAUACUGCCGUUCUUGAGGGUUGCAGAGGAGACUGGAAUUCCCGGUGUAGCGGUGAAAUGUGUAGAGAUCGGGAGGAACACCGGUGGCGAAGGCGGGUCUCUGGGCAAUUCCUGACGCUGAGGCGCGAAAGCGUGGGGAGCAAACG
rnacentral:rRNA from 1 species